GCUGAAAUAGCUCAGUUGGUUAGAGCGUGUGCGUGUGGCAGUUAACCACAAGGUCGGAGGUUCAAUCCCUCCUUCUAGUG